rnacentral:lncRNA from 1 species
UUUAAGGAUCAAAUCCUUAUCUGAAUUGCAAUGGAACCAGAGAUCAAAUCCCAAAUUAUCUGAUAUAAACCUUCGUAGAGGCCUGGAUAUGCAGACCCUCUACUUUGCAUGCACGUCAGAUGCCGCAGGAAAGCAGGAUGAACUCUAAUCCAAUUGGCUUCGUAACUUAAUCAAUCAAGGGAUGAGAUGUGAUGAUGUGACAUCUCACACUAGCAUGUAGGAUGCCCAAGAAGGAUUCACACCC